GACGAACGCUGGCGGCGUGCUUAACACAUGCAAGUCGAGCGGAGCGGCGAACGGGUGAGUAACGCGUGAGUAACUGCCCCCCUCUCUGGGAUAACAGUUGGAAACGGCUGCUAAUACCGGAUAGUGGGGGAUGACGGGCGUCCUAUCAGCUUGUUGGUGGGGUAGUGGCCUACCACGGCGACGACGGGUAACCGGCAUGAGAGGGCGACCGGCCACAUGGGGCUGAGAUACGGCCCAAACGCCUAGGGGAGGCAGCAGUGGGGAAUAUUGCAGAACGGGGGAAACCGUGAUGCAGCAACGCCGCGUGCGGGAUGACGGCCGUCGGGUUGUAAACCGCUUUCAGCCAUGACGCGGUAGUGGCAGAAGAAGCACCGGCUAACUACGUGCCAGCAGCCGCGGUAAUUC
rnacentral:rRNA from 1 species